rnacentral:rRNA from 1 species
AAUCAACGCUGGCGGCGUGCCUAACACAUACAAGUCGAACGCGAAAGUCCCGCAAGGGAUCAGUAGAGUGGCAAACGGGUGAGUAACGCGUGGGUGACCUGCCUUCGAGCGGGGGAUAACGUUCCGAAAGGGGCGCUAAUACCG